rnacentral:lncRNA from 1 species
CCGCCCGCCAGCGCCGCGUUCCCACGACCCGCGUCCGCGGGGGGCGCAGGGCGCGGGCGCCGAGCAUCCCGGGGAGGAUGAGGCCGGGCGCCGGCCCGAGCGGGCCGCGGCUGGGGCUCGGCAGGAAUUAAAGAAGCCGGGAAGAUGGGGCGCCGCGCGCUGCCCGCCCGGCCGGGGCUGGGGACCGGGGACGCCGGCCGGGCGCUCGUCUGCCUGCUCUGCUGCGUGCUCCCGCACACCGCCCCGCAGGUGCUCAGGAUCGGAACCCACAGAGCGUGCACAGAACAGUGCAGAGCACUCACCAAGUGACGAGCUGAAAUUUCUCAAUAACUUUACUGAUUCUGGCCUGCAAUCAGCCAACCUCUUUCCAAAGAUCCAGAAACUAGUUCUUGUCACUUAACAUGGCUAUUACGUA